rnacentral:rRNA from 1 species
AUACGUAGGGGGCGAGCGUUGUCCGGAAUGAUUGGGCGUAAAGGGCGCGUAGGCGGCCCGGUAAGUCUGGAGUGAAAGUCCUGUUUUUAAGAUGGGAAUUGCUUUGGAUACUGUCGGGCUUGAGUGCAGGAGAGGUAAGUGGAAUUCCCAGUGUAGCGGUGAAAUGCGUAGAGAUUGGGAGGAACACCAGUGGCGAAGGCGACUUACUGGACUGUAACUGACGCUGAGGCGCGAAAGUGUGGGGAGUAAACAGGAUUAGAUCCCCUGGUAAGCCACACUGUAAACGAUGAAGGCUAGGUGUAGGGGGUAUCGACCCCUUCUGUGCCGCAGUCAACACAAUAAGCAUUCCGCCUGGGGAGUACGGCCGCAAGGUUGAAACUCAAAGGAAUUGACGGGG